UUUUAAAAAGGAAAACACGCCCCCGGCGUCUCCCACCUCCCAACCUCCACCAACCCCCGCGCCCACCCCAAUCCCUCAGCGCCCACCAGCCCUGCGCGCCGCGCCGCCGCCCCCGCCUCCUCCGGGUGCCACCCCCUCCUCGCGCCGCCGGCCCGCCUCCUCUGCCGCGUUGCCGCCCCGCCUCCUCCUGGCGGGCGCCUCCUGCACGGGGAGCUCGAAGUUCGGAGCGCCACCACCGCUCCCUUCUCCGGCGACCCCUCCCGCACGGCGAGCUGGAUGCAUUUGAUCCCUCGGGGCUUGGGAAGUUCACCCAAUCCGGCGAGCGCAGUCGUCUCCUGUCACCUCCAACAGAUGCGACCCCACGGGUCCGAUGGAUGCUCACGCGGGGGGAGGCCAUGCUGCUUCGGCAAGCUCCUUCUUCCUCGAGCACGGCCAUCUCCAGCCGCCUUCAACAGCCGCGACCCACCGGAUCCGGCGGAUGCUCACGCGUGGGAGCGGUGCUGCUCAGGCAGGCUCUUUCGUCCUCGAGCACGACGCGUCGACAACGGCCUCCUUCCUCUCGUUCCCUCUUCCAUUCCCGAGCACAACUCCGACGAGCCUGUCGACAGGCUAGUCCUGCUGUCACUGAUGCUACUGUUGUUUACCAUCAAAGUGGCCAUAGAGCAUCCAUGGCAGGUCGAGUAAAAUUCUCAUGGCAGUUCGAGUAAAAAUGGCAGCGAGAGAAUUGGAAAUCUGAGGGUAAGAUAGUUUUCGGAGCAUGUUUUAUGUUUGCUGGAAUCCCUAGGUGAAUUGACAUUGUUUACUUUGUGAAAAGUCUGAACGUGGUGUUUGGAUGAGAUCUGAUGUUCGAGUUGUUGGCUAGCUGAAGAUCCAAGAGCCAUCUUUCUUAUUGACAGCGUCUACGACAAUGGGCACGGUGGUGGCGUUCGUGCAGCCGCCGAUGCGGUCAAAGCAUGAAGAGGAGGUUGAACACAAUGUUACCGUCGUACAGGCCCUAUAGGUCUCUCCAUUCAGUGCCUCUUGUGAAGUGACUUCACAAUUUUUAUCUUCUAUUAAGUGAUUCUAAUAUCUUGUUUCUGCUACCUUGCACUAGUAUGUCUGUCCAUUAGGUGCGUUUUUGCUAAAAAGUGCAGGGAGCAGCUGAGUUGCCUGAAAUGGCAUAUAAGUACAGACAAACUUAUCCAUCAACACGAGAAUUCAUGGCUCCCAUCAGUUAGCUGCUGAUCUACGGAGUCUGAAGCGUGUGUUGACAACCAGAGCCAAGGUUCAGAUGGCAGCACACUUAAAAAUGCUGGUGAAAAAUCUCUGAACAUGUCUAGUGCAAUCAUGGGAAAAGGUUGAAUCUUUAUCGCUUAAUCACUGCUGAUAUCUCUUAUAGCUUUUGUUAUGCAUGCUUCGCCGAGUGCUACCACUGAACAUAUGUACGGGAGAUCCAUGCUAUGGUACAGAUUUGUGAAAUUACUUUGUACUCAUUAGUACUAUUUCAUUGUGGAUAAUGGAUGCAUGACUUCAUGUAUCCUUAAUUUACUUUUUCGCUUGAUUUGCAUUGAAAA